rnacentral:rRNA from 1 species
CCAGCAGCCGCGGUAAUACGUAGGUGGCGAGCGUUAUCCGGAUUUACUGGGCGUAAAGGGAGCGUAGGCGGAUGAUUAAGUGGGAUGUGAAAUACCCGGGCUCAACUUGGGUGCUGCAUUCCAAACUGGUUAUCUAGAGUGCAGGAGAGGAGAGUGGAACUCCUAGUGUAGCGGUGAAAUGCGUAGAGAUUAGGAAGAACACCAGUGGCGAAGGCGACUCUCUGGACUGUAACUGACGCUGAGGCUCGAAAGCGUGGGGAGCAAACAGGAUUAGAUACCCUGGUA